UACGAAGGGGGGCUAGCGUUGCUCGGAAUCACUGGGCGUAAAGCGCACGUAGGCGGCUUUUUAAGUCAGGGGUGAAAUCCUGGAGCUCAACUCCAGAACUGCCUUUGAUACUGGGAAGCUUGAGUCCGGGAGAGGUGAGUGGAACUCCGAGUGUAGAGGUGAAAUUCGUAGAUAUUCGGAAGAACACCAGUGGCGAAGGCGGUUACCUGGAGCUUUGCUGACGCUGAUGCGCGAAAGCGUGGGGAGCGAUCCGG
rnacentral:rRNA from 1 species